rnacentral:rRNA from 1 species
UACGAAGGGGGCUAGCGUUGCUCGGAAUCACUGGGCGUAAAGCGCACGUAGGCGGACUCUUAAGUCAGGGGUGAAAUCCUGGAGCUCAACUCCAGAACUGCCUUUGAUACUGGGAGCCUUGAGUUCGAGAGAGGUGAGUGGAACUGCGAGUGUAGAGGUGAAAUUCGUAGAUAUUCGCAAGAACACCAGUGGCGAAGGCGGCUCACUGGCCCGAUACUGACGCUGAGGCACGAAAGCGUGGGGAGCAAACAGG